rnacentral:rRNA from 1 species
CAGCAGCCGCGGUAAUACGUAGGGCGCGAGCGUUGUCCGGAAUUAUUGGGCGUAAAGAGCUUGUAGGCGGUUGGUCGCGUCUGCUGUGAAAGGCCGGGGCUUAACUCCGGUUUUGCAGUGGGUACGGGCUAACUAGAGUGCAGUAGGGGAGACUGGAAUUCCUGGUGUAGCGGUGGAAUGCACAGAUAUCAGGAGGAACACCGAUGGCGAAGGCAGGUCUCUGGGCUGUAACUGACGCUGAGAAGCGAAAGCAUGGGGAGCGAACAGGAUUAGAUACCCGGGUAGUCCCUGUCUCUUAUAC